AACGAACGCUGGCGGCGUGGAUAAGACAUGCAAGUCGAACGGGGGCUUCGGCCCUAGUGGCGAACGGGUGAGUAACACGUGAGCAACCUGCCGGAAAGUGGGGGAUAGCCCGGGGAAACUCGGAUUAAUACCGCAUGUGGCUAACUUGUGCCUGCAAGUGAAGCUAAAGAUUUAUUGCUUUCCGAUGGGCUCGCGUCCUAUCAGCUAGUUGGCGGGGUAACGGCCCACCAAGGCAUCGACGGGUAGCGGUUCUGAGAGGAAGACCCGCCACACUGGAACUGAGACACGGUCCAGACACCUACGGGUGGCAGCAGUCGAGAAUCAUUCGCAAUGGGGGCAACCCUGACGGUGCGACGCCGCGUGGAGGAUGAAGGCCCUCGGGUCGUAAACUCCUGUCACCAGGGAAUAAGGCUACUUUUAGUAGAUUGAUGGUACCUGGAGAGGAAGGGACGGCUAACUUCG
rnacentral:rRNA from 1 species